UACAGAGGGGGCAAGCGUUGUCCGGAAUCAUUGGGCGUAAAGAGCGUGUAGGCGGCCCGGUAAGUCCGCUGUGAAAGUCGGGGGCUCAACCCUCGAAUGCCGGUGGAUACUGUCGGGCUAGAGUGCGGAAGAGGCGAGUGGAAUUCCUGGUGUAGCGGUGAAAUGCGCAGAUAUCAGGAGGAACACCAAUUGCGAAGGCAGCUCGCUGGGACGUGACUGACGCUGAGACGCGAAAGCGUGGGAGCAAACAGG
rnacentral:rRNA from 1 species